UUACGGCGACAUCAUGUUGAAACAUUGGUUCCCAUACGAUCACCAAAGUUAAGCAACUUCGAGCCUAGUCAGUACAUAGAUGAGUGACCACUUAGAAAUACCAGGUGCUGUAAG